rnacentral:rRNA from 1 species
GACGAGGGGUCCAAGCGUUGUUCGGAAUCAUUGGGCGUAAAGCGGGUGUAGGUGGCUUUGUAAGUCAGGAGUGAAAUCCCCGAGCUUAACUUGGGAAGUGCUUUUGAAACUGCAGGGCUUGAGUGUGGGAGAGGAUCGUGGAAUUCCAGGUGUAGUGGUGAAAUACGUAGAUAUCUGGAGGAACACCGGUGGCGAAGGCGGCGAUCUGGCCCAACACUGACACUGAGACCCGAAAGCGUGGGGAUCGAAACAGG